GGACUUAAACUAUCUACCUCGCCGAUGAAAGUGGGUGAUCCCACUAACAAGGUGACGGAUGCUACCUCCGACAAGGGGGAAGCUAAUAUUGAAAAGAGUCCUUCUACUAGUGGUAGAAAUGGCACCGGCAUCUUUUCCAAUGUGGAACCCCCAGUGUAUAGAGGACCGAUCCCCUCUACUCAUUUGAAUCAUGCCGGUCCUCCUCCUAAAUAUGUGAAAAAUGAAGAUUUUGAUUCUUGGGUUUAUCGCUUCAAGCAUCAUUUAAAACAUGUGAAUACUAACCUUUGGAGAAUCAUUGAA
rnacentral:rRNA from 1 species